UACGUAGGGGGCAAGCGUUGUUCGGAUUUAUUGGGCGUAAAGGGCGCGUAGGCGGUUGGCUAAGUCAGUUGUGAAAACCACGGGCUUAACUCGGGGCCUGCAGUUGAGACUGUCUGGCUUGAGUGUGGGAGAGGAAAGUGGAAUUCCCGGUGUAGCAGUGAAAUGCGUAGAGAUCGGGAGGAACAUCAGUUGCGAAGGCGGCUCUCUGGACCAGCACUGACGCUGAGGCACGAAAGCGUGGGGAGCAAACAGG
rnacentral:rRNA from 1 species